rnacentral:rRNA from 1 species
UGUGAACUCGAAGAGUAGGGCGGGACACGUGGUAUCCUGUCUGAAUAUGGGGGGACCAUCCUCCAAGGCUAAAUACUCCUGACUGACCGAUAGUGAACCAGUACCGUGAGGGAAAGGCGAAAAGAACCCCGGCGAGGGGAGUGAAAAAGAACCUGAAACCGUGUACGUACAAGCAGUGGGAGCACCUUCGGGUGUGACUGCGUACCUUUUGUAUAAUGGGUCAGCGACUUAUAUUCUGUAGCAAGGUUAACCGUAUAGGGGAGCCGCAGGGAAACCGAGUCUUAACUGGGCGUUAAGUUGCAGGGUAUAGACCCGAAACCCGGUGAUCUAGCCAUGGGCAGGUUGAAGGUUGGGUAACACUAACUGGAGGACCGAACCGACUAAUGUUGAAAAAUUAGCGGAUGACUUGUGGCUGGGGGUGAAAGGCCAAUCAAACCGGGAGAUAGCUGGUUCUCCCCGAAAGCUAUUUAGGUAGCGCCUCGUGAAUUCAUCUUCGGGGGUAGAGCACUGUUUCGGCUAGGGGGUCAUCCCGACUUACCAACCCGAUGCAAACUACGAAUACCGAAGAAUGUUAUCACGGGAGACACACGGCGGGUGCUAACGUCCGUCGUGAAGAGGGAAACAACCCAGACCGCCAGCUAAGGUCCCAAAGUCAUGGUUAAGUGGGAAACGAUGUGGGAAGGCACAGACAGCCAGGAUGUUGGCUUAGAAGCAGCCAUCAUUUAAAGAAAGCGUAAUAGCUCACUGGUCGAGUCGGCCUGCGCGGAAGAUGUAACGGGGCUAAACCAUGCACCGAAGCUGCGGCAGCGACACUAUGUGUUGUUGGGUAGGGGAGCGUUCUGUAA